CAGCAACUUCCACUUGUGCCUACCUCUUCAUUAGUGCGUCGGGGCUUGUUUUGCUUCGAGCAUUCUGUUGGUUUCCUGUGUUGCAUACCUACUUGAUGGCAUUGUGUUGAUGAAUCGAAGCCCCUUUCGUCAUGCGUUGCUCAUGCAGCGUGGGACGAACCUCGAAGCGGUGUCGGUGUUCCAUCUUGUCGGUGUCCUUACACCGUCAACGUGGCCCAUCGACUAUCGCUUGCUAUCUAGGAUGCAGAACCUUAUAUGGGGGACGGGGUCUUGUAUGGACUCGUGUCUGCCCGUGUAAAGCUUUGUUGCUUCUUUAAAACGACCGUGGAAAGCGUGUUGGCGUGCCAUGCGCGGCCGACGUCGUCGAAG
rnacentral:misc_RNA from 1 species